rnacentral:rRNA from 1 species
AUUGAACGCUAGCGGGAUGCUUUACACAUGCAAGUCGAACGGCAGCGCGGACUUCGGUCUGGCGGCGAGUGGCGAACGGGUGAGUAAUGUAUCGGAACGUGCCCAGUAGCGGGGGAUAACUACGCGAAAGCGUAGCUAAUACCGCAUACGCCCUACGGGGGAAAGCAGGGGAUCGUAAGACCUUGCACUAUUGGAGCGGCCGAUAUCGGAUUAGCUAGUUGGUGAGGUAACGGCUCACCAAGGCGACGAUCCGUAGCUGGUUUGAGAGGACGACCAGCCACACUGGGACUGGAACACGGCCCAGACUCCUACGGGACGCAGCAGUGGGGAAUGUUGGACAACGGGGGCAACCCUGAUCCAGCCAUCCCGCGUGUGCGAUGAAGGCCUUCGGGUUGUAAAGCACUUUUGGCAGGAAAGAAACGUCGCGGGCUAAUACCCCGUGGAACUGACGGUACCUGCAGAAUAAGCACCGGCUAACUACGUG